rnacentral:rRNA from 1 species
CCUACGGGAGGCAGCAGUGGGGAAUAUUGCACAAUGGGGGAAACCCUGACGCAGCAACGCCGCGUGAAGGAAGACGGUUUUCGGAUCGUAAACCUCUGUUCUUAGUGAAGAAUAAUGACGGUAGCUAAGGAACAAGCCACGGCUAACUACGUGCAAGAAGCCGCGGUAAUACGUAGGUGGCAAGCGUUGUUCGGAAUUACUGGGGGUAAAGGGAGCGCAGGCGGGGAGCCAAGUCAGCUGUGAAAACUACGGGCGUAACUGGUAGAGUGCAGGUGAAAAUGGUUGUUUUGAGUGAAGUAGAGGUUGGUGGAAUUCCGAGUGUAGCGGUGAAAUGCGUAGAUAUACGGAGGAACACCGGUGGCGAAGGCGGCCAACUGGGCUUUAACUGACGCUGAGGCUCGAAAGUGUGGGGAGCAAACAGGAUUAGAUACCCUUGUAGUC